UACAGAGGGUGCGAGCGUUGUUCGGAAUUAUUGGGCGUAAAGGGCGCGUAGGCGGUGCGGUAAGUCACCUGUGAAAUCUCCUGGCUCAACUGGGGAGGGUCGUGCGAUACGGUCGAACUGGAGGCCAGUAGGGGGAUGCGGAAUUCCGGGUGUAGUGGUGGAAUGCGUAGAUAUCGGGAGGAACACCAGUGGCGAAGGCGGUUGCCUGGGGCUUUGCUGACGCUGAUGCGCGAAAGCGUGGGGAGCGAUCCGG
rnacentral:rRNA from 1 species